GCUGGGCAUGGUGGCGUAUGCCUGUAAUCUCAGUGGCUCAGGAGGCUGAGGCAGGAGGAUCAUGAGUUCAAAGCCAGCUUCAGCAUAAGCAAGGUGCUAAGCAACUCAGUGAGACCCUGUCUCUA
rnacentral:sRNA from 1 species